rnacentral:rRNA from 1 species
UGGGGAAUAUUGGGCAAUGGGCGAAAGCCUGACCCAGCAACGCCGCGUGAAGGAAGAAGGUUUUCGGAUUGUAAACUUCUGUCCUCAGGGAAGAAACAAAUGACGGUACCUGAGGAGGAAGCCCCGGCUAACUACGUGCC